rnacentral:lncRNA from 1 species
GGCCUCUCCUUCAAGCUACUUCAAGCUGUGCCCUCUUUCUCCUUUGUUCUGGACUACAAAAUCCUUGUUAAGAUGUGCCUUGGAGCAGAUACCAUCCUCCAGGUUCCAAGUUCAAGAACAGUGUUUGGGUCAACAUCACCUCCCUGGGGAGAUGUUCCUAUACUUGCAACCUCCAGAUGACCCAAGGGCCACCAUUUGCAGCGUUCAUGACACCUAAUGACCUGUCCCUAGCAGCUCCAGGCUUCCUGAGAGUGGGGUCAUAUCUAUCCUCAUCACCACUGGGUUCCCAGUGACCAGCCCAGUCCGGAGAAGCAAGGAGAAACCACUUUUUGACUCAAUGUAUCUUAAGUGGGUAGAGUUGAGUGGAUCAGCAAGGAUGGAGAUUCGAGAGAAGCAGUGGGUAGGAGAAAGUCUCUGGUCAACAGCCUCUUCUGGGCAGAUAUGAUAAACAAAAACCCUCAGCCACCACAGUAGAAGGGACGGGUGGAUUUAAAUAGAAUCAAUGCAUAUAUGCCCACCUAGCUGACAAGAGGCCUCUAGCAUAGCUUCCAAUAUGACAUCCUAAGGACUUGUUUGGGGCUUUUAGGUCCUGAGGGACACCUAGACAUUGACUGGAUACCUUCUUUUCGGAAUGUCUAAUCUGUCACUUGUUCAACAAAACUGUCCUCUUCGGCUUCCAACAGGAAGUCAUGGUCAAAACUCAUUUCACUCUCAGAAUCCAGAGCUGGACAGUCAAUCCUUGCUUGUUGGUCUAAAAUCCUCUGCUUAGUUGAGGAAGUCAAGGUAUAGAAAGGUUAAAAGUAGGCCCUAACCUUCUCUUCUUCCCAAUGUGUUUCUCAUGAGAGUGGGAAAGAUUCUCGGAUUCUCCCAGUGCCAAAGCUGACGGGCCUCGCCCAAAGACUCUUGAGUUGAAGAGCCAGGGAAGGCAAGGGUGAAGACUUCUAACCAUGCCUGCCAGGGUGGGUACUCCGUUGGACUCCUCUUCAUUCAUCUUCCUGCCCCCCCCCCCAUCUCCCCUCCAUUCUCACUGCUCUCUUUCAUCUCAGGAAGCCACAGACUAAAGACUCCACUGAACCCUAAACCAGCCAAGCUGCUAGCAUUUGUUAUGAGAAAGACAGUCAUGAUGACACUAGUCAUGGUUGGCUAUUUACUGCAUGUCAGGCAGCACACUAAGGCUUUACAAAGAGUAUUUAUUUCAGUCCCCAGAGUCACUUGUUGUAGUACCAUGAAUUUAUUCAUAAUAACUAUUUAUUAGAUAGCCAUACUGUUCGAGGAGCUUGUGAAGAGACUCACUAAGUUAUAUCAUCUUAUCCAUUCUAGGUGGCAGAUCUCUUCAUGGCUUAAUAUCUUAAACCAAUGGUCAUUUAUGAUCUGACACAAUCUCCAUUGGUCACAGAACUCAGGGGGUUGGCUGAGCUGCAUCACCUCAAAUCAGGAGAUCUCAGAAAGCGAUAGUCUGGAUAUUUAGCAGGUUCUGGAGGAAUUUCCAAGGUGGUUUACUCCAUUGGUUGACAAACUGAUGUAAGCUGAAUGCCAGAAGCCUCAGUUGGGCCAUGUGUACCUCUCUAGAGCCUGCUUGAGCAUGCUCACAAUAUGGCAACUGACUUCUUCGAGACAGGAACUGAGGGAGGGCAAGGCGGAAGUUACAGUAACUUUUAUAACUCAGUGCAAGUGUCAUAUCUACAAUAUCUACCAGUGUCAAAUCUACAAUAUACAGUGAGUGAUUAGAUCAACCCUAGUCUGCAUGGGAGGGAAUCUACACAAGGCUUUGGAUACCAGACAAUGGAUUCAUUAAAGCCAUCUUAUAGGGUGGUUGUCACAGUGAGGAAACACAAAACCAGAAAGUGGUCUGAGAAUUGAUCAUCAAUGGAGUCAUGAUGCCAUCUUACCGCUCAAGCGAAUGACAUCCACAAAGAACAAACAGGAGUUUAAGAUCCAUGUUUAGUAGUGAAAGAGCAAAGACCUGAACUUGACCUCCACCCCUACCCCAACAGGCUUCCCCCAUCUUUCCUACCACAAAGUGGCCUGAAUCCCAGAACAGAGCAAGCCACUGAGAAUUCAGCUUGGCAAGACCCAGCACCCAGGGUUUGGCCAACCUCCAGCGUCCUCACGCCUCCUGCCCUCUUUGCGGAUCAUUUAUUCCAAGGCCCAGCUAUAAAUAUCCACUCAGCGAAAUACCUCGCUCCUCAGAUACCCACUCCCCAGCCCUGGCCGCCUGUACCAUGCUCGCUCGAUGCCAGCUUGCAAUCAACCUGCAAUCUGAAUCCACUUUGCUCACCCAGCACUGAAGGACUGCCCGAGCUAGUCUGCUGCUGGCACGCCCCCAAGAUCACUUUUGUAAGUUAAUGGUGCAGUAGUCAGUUGUUAAAAACACUAAUUGACGUUAAAUAGGUGAUGUUAUCUGACAAUACACAGACGGCUCUGGGUCUAUACUCU